rnacentral:rRNA from 1 species
UACGUAGGGUGCAAGCGUUAAUCGGAAUUACUGGGCGUAAAGCGUGCGCAGGCGGCUCCGCAUGUCGGGCGUGAAAUCCCCGGGCUUAACCUGGGAAUUGCGUCCGAAACUAUGGAGCUGGAGUGUGGCAGAGGGAGGUGGAAUUCCACGUGUAGCGGUGAAAUGCGUAGAGAUGUGGAGGAACACCGAUGGCGAAGGCAGCCUCCUGGGCCAACACUGACGCUCAUGCACGAAAGCGUGGGGAGCAAACAGG